rnacentral:siRNA from 1 species
UACUCAGCUAGGUAGGACUCGUGC